rnacentral:rRNA from 1 species
GUGAGUAACACGUGAGUAACCUGCCCCUGACUCUGGAAUAACCGUGGGAAACGACGGCUAAUACCGGAUAUGAGACGUCCACGCAUGUGAGCGUCUGGAAAGAUUUAUCGGUCUGGGAUGGACUCGCGGCCUAUCAGCUUGUUGGUGGGGUAAUGGCCCACCAAGGCGACGACGGGUAGCCGGCCUGAGAGGGCGACCGGCCACACUGGGACUGAGAUACGGCCCAGACUCCUACGGGAGGCAGCAGUGGGGAAUAUUGCACAAUGGGCGCAAGCUGAUGCAGCGACGCCGCGUGGGGGAUGAAGGCCUUCGGGUUGUAAACCCUUUCAGCAGGGAAGAAGCGAAAGUGACGGUACCUGCAGAAGAAGCGCCGGCUAACUACGUGCCAGCAGCCGCGGUAAUACGUAGGGCGCAAGCGUUGUCCGGAAUUAUUGGGCGUAAAGAGCUCGUAGGCGGUUUGUCGCGUCUGCUGUGAAAACCCGAGGCUCAACCUCGGGCUUGCAGUGGGUACGGGCAGACUAGAGUUCGGUAGGGGUGACUGGAAUUCCUGGUGUAGCGGUGGAAUGCGCAGAUAUCAGGAGGAACACCGAUGGCGAAGGCAGGUCACUGGGCCGCAACUGACGCUGAGGAGCGAAAGCAUGGGGAGCGAACAGGAUUAGAUACCCUGGUAGUCCAUGCCGUAAACGUUGGGCACUAGGUGUGGGGCUCAUUCCACGAGUUCCGUGCCGCAGCAAACGCAUUAAGUGCCCCGCCUGGGGAGUACGGCCGCAAGGCUAAAACUCAAAGGAAUUGACGGGGGCCCGCACAAGCGGCGGAGCAUGCGGAUUAAUUCGAUGCAACGCGAAGAACCUUACCAAGGCUUGACAUACACCGGAAAAGUGCAGAGAUGUGCUCCCCGCAAGGUCGGUGUACAGGUGGUGCAUGGUUGUCGUCAGCUCGUGUCGUGAGAUGUUGGGUUAAGUCCCGCAACGAGCGCAACCCUCGUCCUAUGUUGCCAGCACGUUAUGGUGGGGACUCAUAGGAGACUGCCGGGGUCAACUCGGAGGAAGGUGGGGAUGACGUCAAAUCAUCAUGCCCCUUAUGUCUUGGGCUUCACGCAUGCUACAAUGGCCGGUACAAAGGGCUGCGAUACCGCAAGGUGGAGCGAAUCCCAAAAAGCCGGUCUCAGUUCGGAUUGGGGUCUGCAACUCGACCCCAUGAAGUCGGAGUCGCUAGUAAUCGCAGAUCAGCAACGCUGCGGUGAAUACGUUCCCGGGCCUUGUACACACCGC